rnacentral:rRNA from 1 species
GAUGAACGCUGGCGGCGUGCUUAGCACAUGCAAGUCGAGCGAUGAAGUUUCCUUCGGGAAACGGAUUAGCGGCGGACGGGUGAGUAACACGUGGGUAACCUGCCUCAUAGAGUGAAAUAGCCUUCCGAAAGGAAGAUUAAUACCGCAUAAUGUUGAAAGAUGGCAUCAUCAUUCAACCAAAGGAGCAAUCCGCUAUGAGAUGGACCCGCGGCGCAUUAGCUAGUUGGUGGGGUAACGGCCUACCAAGGCGACGAUGCGUAGCCGACCUGAGAGGGUGAUCGGCCACAUUGGGACUGAGACACGGCCCAGACUCCUACGGGAGGCAGCAGUGGGGAAUAUUGCACAAUGGGGGAAACCCUGAUGCAGCAACGCCGCAUGAGUGAUGAAGGUUUUCGGAUCGUAAAGCUCUGUCUUUGGGGAAGAUAAUGACGGUACCCAAGGAGGAAGCCACGGCUAACUACGUGCCAGCCGCCGCGGUAAGAC